rnacentral:tRNA from 1 species
UCCCGUGUGGCUCAGUUGGUAGAGCAUGGCGCUUGCAAAGCCAGGGUUGUGGGUUAGAUCCCCAUAGGGGAC